rnacentral:ncRNA from 1 species
AGGAGCCGUAUGAGGCGAAAGUCUCACGUACGGUUUUGAAGACGAGUCCGUUGGGUGACUGACUGGCUUAGUUUAAU